GGGAGUUCAGCUACAAACAAUACUGAAAAGUAAAUACGUGGUGUAUUUCACUGAACAAAUGAAAGGUUGACAAAAUAAAUGAAAUGUGGCAGAUUCUGUCAUUUCCAUUUGGAUGGAAGUUCAAUACACAUGGGCUCAUCUAGGAAGUAUUUUCAUUGUCUCUGAUGAUAUCAGAAGCCAUUUGCCUGAAGAUGUACAUAGACUUAACGAAAUCAAUACAGGCUUCAGAGAAUGA
rnacentral:lncRNA from 1 species